UAAUCGAUUCUGGUGUGAGUUCUGGUC
rnacentral:piRNA from 1 species